rnacentral:rRNA from 1 species
UAAUACGAAGGGGGCUAGCGUUGUUCGGAAUUACUGGGCGUAAAGCGCGCGUAGGCGGUUUUGCAAGCCAGAGGUGAAAUGCCUGAGCUCAACUUAGGAAUUGCCUUUGGGACUGCGAGGCUUUGAGGACUGGAGAGGUGAGUGGAAUUCCCAGUGUAGAGGUGAAAUUCGUAGAUAUUGGGAAGAACACCAGUGGCGAAGGCGGCUCACUGGCCAGUUUCUGACGCUGCAGCGCGAAAGCGUGGGGAUCAAACAGGAUUAGAUACCCUGGUAGUCCACGCUGUAAACGAUGAGUGCUAGGCGUCGGCACGCUUGCGUGUCGGUGCCGCAGCUAACGCGUGAAGCACUCCGCCUGGGGAGUACGGUCGCAAGAUUA